rnacentral:rRNA from 1 species
GAGUUUGAUCGUGGCUCAGGACGAACGCUGGCGGCGCGCCUCAUACAUGCAAGUCGAGCGUGAAGCCGGACUUCGGUCCGGUGGAAAGCGGCGAACGGGUGCGUAACACGUGAGCAACCUGCCCCGAAGACUGGGAUAACCCGAGGAAACUCGGGCUAAUACCGGAUGUCCUCUUCUGAUCGCAUGGUCGGAUGAGGAAAUGUUCAGGCGCUUCGGGAUGGGCUCGCGGUCUAUCAGCUUGUUGGUGGGGUAACGGCCUACCAAGGCGACGACGGAUAGCUGGUCUGAGAGGACGAUCAGCCACACUGGGACUGAGACACGGCCCAGACUCCUACGGGAGGCAGCAGUAGGGAAUCUUGCGCAAUGGGGGAAACCCUGACGCAGCGACGCCGCGUGCGGGAUGAAGGCCUU